rnacentral:lncRNA from 1 species
AGACCAUAAUAAUGCUAAGCAAGCUUUAAUCAAAUUCAAAAAAACCUCAAAGAAAUUUCAAAGAAAUAAUAAGAAAUCUUAAAGAAAUAUUAGAAUGAUCACAAAUAUCUCUCAAAUAUAUCUCAAUUCAAUCUUAAUUUAAUUCUAGUUAAAAUCCUAUUGGACUUCAUUCAAACUUUAAGACAAAACUAAUUAAAUCUUAAACCCUAAUAAAAUCCUAAAUCCUAAAUCAAACUCUAAAUCCUAAACAAACCUUAAACCAAAUCCCAACCAAAUCUUAAAUCAAAUCCUAACCAAACCAUAAACCAAACCCUAACCAAACCCUAAAUGAAAUCCUAACCAAACUUGAAACCAAACCUCAAAUCCUAAACAAAAUCCUAAUCAAAUCCUAAUCCUAAAUCAAAUCCUAAACCUAAACCAAAUCCUGAAAUCUAAACCAAAUCCCAACCAAACCCUAAACCAAACCCUAAACCAAACCCUAAAUCCUAAAUCAAACCUUAACCAAAUUCUAAUCCUAAAUCAAAUCCUAACCAAAUUCUAAAUCAAAUCCUAAAUCCUAAAUCAAAUCCUAAUCAAACUCUAAACCCUAAACCAAUCCCUAAUCAAACCCUAAUAAUUCCUAUAAUAGAUUUAAACCUCAAUAACUAAUGAAUAAACUGUUGAUCUUAAUUCAAACUUUGCACACUUCUUAAAAAAUAAGUUAAAAACAAGCACAAAAAAUUUGAAAAGGAUCGGAAUUACUAAAUAGACGAUAACCUCAAAAAUGUGCUCAGGUAUUGGCAGGCCUCCUUCUCCAACCUUGAUGUCAAUCUCCCAAAGCCAAUAUCUCUCCUUUUCAUCGUUUGAUUGAUUUCAAAAUUCUCAAAUACAUAGAAAAGCAAGUCUUAUAUCCUCUCACACAAAUUUCAUUCCAAUCCAACUAGUAGAUUGCAAGAAAUCUUAAAAACCCUUACUAGACCUAAAAUUCUACUUAUUGAGACCUUGAUCCACUAAAACCUCAAUAAUUCUCAAUUCAACCGUUAGAUCGAGCUUAAAUUCACAACAUAUAUUAAAUACAACUACAACCAUGAACUCACAAAAUUUCACUUGUAGAUCUAUUACAAAACUCUUGAAAUCACUCAAAAUGUAAACCCUAUUGUAUUUCAUAAAACCCAAGUCAUCUAAAACA